GGACCCACAGCCUAGCCUUUAUGGGGAGGAGAGGCAGGUGUAGAAUUGAGGGUGCUAGUUUUUUCUCAUGCUACAGGCCUCCAAUCCCCCCCCCCCCCAUUCAUACUGAGAAUGGGAAUGGGAAUUUUUUUUGUCAAUGGCCCAUAAACUCAUUGAAACCAUCCCACUAUGUCAGGUUCGGUGGUACCCACCCGUGAUCCUUGCACACUUCAGGCAGAGGCCAGAGGAUGACAUGUUGGAGGUGAGCCUGAGCUACAACCAAAAUCCUGUGUCACCAAAACCACAACUAGCCCCACCUCCUCAAACCUGACCUCAUCCUCUUCUCUCCCACGAGGCCUCCUGGGAGGAAGCAUCCAUCCCCACCCUUCCUGGUGUGCUGGGGUCCCCAAGCUGCAUUGGUCACACUGCAGAGUCUGUUUGGCCUGAAGCCUUGGUUGUGGCCGCCUGGGAGCAAGCCUGGCCUUGCCUGAAUGGGUGUGAGUUCGACAGUGCUGCAGACAGGCAGCAGCAGGGAGCCCAAAGGGUUAUUGCGGGGCAUCCAGCCCAGCCACCUUGUCACAGGUGGUCUGUCUCUCUGCCCUGGCUGCUUGGUGCUUUCCUUACGCCAUUCCAAGCCUGGUUUGUGGAAGAUUCUGGAUGUUUGCUCCAGCCUCCUCUUAGCCCACUGCCAUCUACCCACAGAUGAGGCCUUUCACUGAGCCUGGAGUACUGAAUUUGGCCAAUGAACUGCAAGAAUCCACCCGUGUCUGUGCUCUCCCUCUUGUCAGUGCUGGGGUUACAGACAUACUCUUCUGUGCUCAGCUCUUGCAUAGGUGCUACGGACCCAAACUCAGGCCCUCAUGUUUGCACGCCCAGUGCACAGAUCAUAAUGGCCAGGAUGCCAGGCCACCCCAUUCACUGCCGUUCACCACAAUCAAGCCAGCUUCACUCAAGACUGUGACCGAUGAGCCAGAGGUCUCUAUAACUUAAAACAGCUGCAUUCACAGCCGGGCCUGGUUACUCCAGAGAAGAAGAAAAGAAGAUGAAGUCAUGAAGGACUCCCUGCUGGAGGUUGUACUCCAGCUACUCGUAAGGUAGCCGAGAAAGAGCAGGAGUGAACGAGAGAGAACAGGCAAGCGAGUGAAGGAGAGUGAAGCCUGGGAACUGAAUGGCUCUCCAUCUGCCACACCUGUUCCUGCACUGUCCACACGAGCCAAGAGCACGGGCAUUUCACACAUGUAGAGUGAGUCCUCAUGCCUUCUCUCAUUGCAUCACCAUGUGGCAUGGAAGCUACAUGGAGAAUUAACAUAUGUGGGGCUACGGAUCUACGCCAUCCUUAGGUGAUGAUACCAGCCAUUGUUCCGUGGGUGGGGGAGCCCCAGAGGACACACAAGUUCUGUGUCCCAGUGAGGACGAUUAAUCCUGUUGUUCUUCUUCUCACCAAACCCAGUAGCAGUUAACAAGACCCCCGAGAAUGCCCCUAAAACGUAAAUCAGGGCCCCAGCAAGAGAUCCUCGAGGCCAAGUUGGCAGCAGCUAGUAAGGACAAGUGCUUAGGAGACUCAUGAUGUCCGGUCCAUCCCAAGCUGGCUGUUUGUAAUAAGACACUGGAUGGGAGAGAAAGGAUCAGCUAUAGUAUCUUGGGUUGGGGUUAGCCUGGGACAAGCUACAGAGGUCCCAGAUGGGAGAACUUACAUUAAAACGCUCUGGGAUUGAAAAGACAUGUCAGUAGCUAGGACUUGUUACUCUGCAGAGAACCCAGACCCAGCUGGACAGAACUUGUAUGGUGGCUUACAACCAUCUAUAACUCUGGUUCCGGGGAAUCUGAUGGCUUCUUCUUGUCUCCCUGGGUCCCAGGCAUCCAUGUGGUGCACCCUCGUGAUUCAUUGAAUUCUCAGACGUGCCACCAACAGAGGCACAAGUCUGCAAUGCGUGAGCCUUUUUGUGGAACAUGCCACAUGACAUUAUCUCUGUGUCUCUCUUGCUGUGUACAAAUGUGUUUAUCUGGGUGUGUGCAUGCAUGUGUGUGAAUAUACACAUACACAUGGUGCACAUAUGCAUGCACAUGUGUGUGUGUGUGUGUGUGUGCAUGCACAGAGGUCAGAGGUUGAUGCUGCUUGUCUUCUUUGGUCACCUCUACUUUUCGUUAGUUUUUCUUUUCUUUUUAAAAUAUAUAUAUUAAAUUAAUUAAAUUAUAUAUAUAAUUAACUAAAUUAUAUAUAUAUAUAUAUAUGUGGUGCAUGUGCAUAUAUGUAGGCAAAAUACAUACACAUAAAAUAAAACAAAUGCAUCCAGAACCAGGUAUAGCCCAAGAAGGGGUCCAUCUCUGGGAGGACAUGUUUGUUGAGACAGACAGUGAGGGACUUGGGGACUCUCCGAUGAGGGAGUUGGUUCCUCUCUCCUGCUCUGAUUAAUUUUGGGUGUCUGGCUCUGCUCUGAAGUUGCCCACCAUGUGUCUUAUACUAUGCCAUAUGCCUUUCUGGGCCUCUCCAACCCAUUGGAAACAAUAAGAGUACUGAAUCAGAGGCUCUCUACAGUUUAGUGGCUACCAAUUCUACAGCAGAACUUUCCACAGAGCCCUAAAAUCAUCAAGUCAGCAGUACCCAAUCUCUGCCUGUGGGCCACAGUGGGCCUGGGUACUACUUGCAGGCUGGCUUUACAGGACAGUGGUCCAGGACCUCCAAGGACGAUGAGAGAAAUGGAUGCAUAGCUGGAAGGCAGUCUUCAGAUAUGUGGGCUUUGGUGUCUUUUCCAUAGUGGGCCCCUAGGAGGCUGGGCAGGCAGAAGGUGUGUGGGUUCUCGUUUUUGUGCCACCAACUCCCUGUGUGACCUCAACCAAGACACUCCCACUCUGAGCUAUUUUUAUGCGGGGGCAGGGAGCUAGGCGUAGGGAAAAUGCCAGUUGUAUAUUGUACAAAACUGUUUGCUUAACCAAAAAAACAAAAACCCCAACUCUGUUGUUCCAGAAGCUCCCAGAAAACUUGGCACGUGGUCCCACUCGGCCAGCAGGAACCACUUCUCAGAACUGUUGUUUUUGGAGAAGGUACCUGUUUGUGUUUACUGUGAUGAGAAAAAAAAUUUUACAAAGAUGCAACAGGUCUGCUGAUUGAUCUAUUGGGGGAAGCUUCGAUAUUUUAUCAAUGAACUCACCAAACAAAAAUAUUGCCGCAGGUUCAUGGUGACCCGAGCUGCAGGUGCCAGGCAUUUACCCUUUAGGUGUGAAGUGGCUGUCGGGACUUUUCUUCAGGAAAAUGUGACUAGUCUCUCUCUUCCUGAAGUCACAUUUGAGAAGAUUUUUUUUCUAUUUAGAGCUCCUCUUUAUCACCCAGGCCAUCUGAACCUGUUUUAAAUUCUCUCAGAGCAAAACUGAAAUUUAUACCUGUCUCGGAUACCAGCCUGAGAAACCAAGAAGAAAAUAAAACUGUUGGCCUCAUUUCUCUUGGGGUAGAAACCAGAGAGACUGUAGAAGUUGCCCAGACAGACUAACUUGCUGAAGGAGUGAACGCCAUGGCUGGGAAGUCUGGUCACUUGACAAGAUCUGACAUUGACUCUCCUCUGACCGAGAGGUGCCACCCUGCCACCCUGUCACAGCCUGAUUUCUCCAGUCAUGAGAAAGGGCACAGGCACAAUUCUCUGCAGGGCCUUUUCCACUCCUACACCGGAAAGAAAGACUUCAUCAGACGGGAGAAACCUGAAGGUGGUGCCGGAAAACCCAAGUGGAACUGUUCAAACAUCUCAGGAGAGAAAGUAGCAGUGAUUCAGAUGUCAGUAGGAUCCGCCCUGGACAGCUGCCAAAGGAACAAGUUCACGUAAAGGCUGAGUCCCACCUAAAGGGAGGGAGAGGAAAGUUAGGUUAGAAGAAAAAUUGAAUCUAUUGCGGAGGAGAGGGGAGUAUGUCAGUCAUCCCUUACACCUCCUGGGCUGAGUCCUCCCUGAGGCCAGUGCCACCCCUUUGGGCUCAUGGGUGCAGUUAGGAGGAUCUCAGAGUCAACUGCAUCACCCCCAACUCCACUGCCUGCACACCCAGGGCUUUUCACUCACUCUUACCUAGUGAGUCUGUUACCUUCAAAGGGCCUCAGUGUAAAGACUCCUCUUCAGGAAUUGUGUGGAGAUGUAUACUGGGUAGACUUGUAUCAAAGGAGGGGAGUCUACACAUCCCCACCAGAAUGUUUCUCCCUCCAUGGCAGCAGGAACUGGCCUUGGCCAUGUUCUUAAAGAAGCAACUUGAUUUUCUGAUAGGCAUCUGAGCAAUUGAAUAGGUUCUUCUUCUCCUCCUUUCUCUUUCCAUCUCCUUCCUGUCUUUCCUCUCAGGUGGAUGACGUCUGCUCUUUGACUUUGCCAUCUUGAUUUGGCUUUUGAUUGUGACUUUUCUUUGCUUAGAACUAAAAGGAUCUCAGGGCCGAAGGAUUUAAGGUUAAAAAGCUGCCCUGAAGUCUUCAGUCUAGCUCCUAAGUGUUAAAUUUGCUUGCCAUCCCAUCCCAAAAGACUAUAGAAUGACACAUAUUUUUGCAAAGGGAGUAACUAAUUUUCAAGCCUACCUUCUGUAGAAUGAGAUAGGCUGACUAUAGAAUUUUCUCCCUCAGUGGAACUGAAUUGUGGGCUCCUGAUGUUGCUGCCAAUGAGUCCAAAUCUUUGAAAUGUUCUUUUCCACCAAAUAGAAUCAGUGUUCUCAGUCAUUGCUCUUAGAUUUUCCAUUAUUCUGAGCAUUUUCAUCACAUAAUAGCAUUUCUCAGUGGCUUAGCUGGUGAAGUGUUUGCCGUGCAAACAUGAGGACCCAUGCACCCAGCACCCAUGUGAAAAGUCAUUCAGUGCAUGGUGGAGGUGGGGCCAGGAGGUCCCUGGAACUUGCUGGCCAGCCAGUCUAGCCUAACCCGUGAGCUCUAGGUUCAGUGAGAGACCCUGUCUCAAAAACUAAGGUGGAGAGCAAUCGUGGAAGAUGCCCAUCAUUAACCCAUAGCCUCCCAUGUGUAUACACAUGCAUACACACACACACACACACACACACACACACACACACACACACACACUCCUCCAACAUGCACACAGAAAGCGUUGUGUUGUUGAGUUUUAUUGGGUUUUUUUUUUUGGCUCUUCUGGGGUGCCCACCACCCAGCUCCCAAAUAAGUGA